rnacentral:rRNA from 1 species
AUUGAACGCUGGCGGCAUGCUCUACACAUGCAAGUCGAACGGUAACAGGCCGCAAGGUGCUGACGAGUGGCGAACGGGUGAGUAAUGCAUCGGAACGUGCCCAGUCGUGGGGGAUAACUACUCGAAAGAGUAGCUAAUACCGCAUACGAUCUAUGGAUGAAAGCGGGGGACCGUAAGGCCUCGCGCGAUUGGAGCGGCCGAUGUCAGAUUAGGUAGUUGGUGGGGAAAAGGCUCACCAAGCCAACGAUCUGUAGCUGGUCUGAGAGGACGACCAGCCACACUGGGACUGAGACACGGCCCAGACUCCUACGGGAGGCAGCAGUGGGGAAUUUUGGACAAUGGGCGCAAGCCUGAUCCAGCAAUGCCGCGUGCAGGAAGAAGGCCUUCGGGUUGUAAACUGCUUUUGUACGGAACGAAACGGCUCUGGUUAAUACCCGGGGCUAAUGACGGUACCGUAAGAAUAAGCACCGGCUAACUACGUG